GCGGUUAAAAAGCUCGUAGUUGGAUUUCUGUCUGGGAUGGUCGGUCCGCACUUUGUGCGUGCAUCUGAUGCGUCCUCGGCAUCCUUCUGAAGGACAUUGUACUUUAUUGUAUGAUGGAUUUCAGAACUUUUACUUUGAGGAAAUUAGAGUGUUCACAGCAAGCAAGCGCUUUGAAUACAUUAGCAUGGAAUAAUAAUAUAGGACCUUCAGUACUAUUUUGUUGGUUUCUAGAGCUGAGGUAAUGAUUAAUAGGGACAGUUGGGGGCAUUCGUAUUAACGCGUCAGAGGUGGAAUUCUUGGAUUGCGUUACGACGAACUACUGCGAAAGCAUUUGCCAAGGAUGUUUUCAUUGAUCAAGGACGAAAGUAUGGGGAUCGAAGACGAUUAGAUACCGUCGUAGUCUAUACCAUAAACUAUGCCGACUAGAGAUUGGAGGUCGUUUUUUUAUGACUCCUUCAGCACCUUAUGAGAAAUCAAAGUCUUUGGGUUCCGGGGGGAGUAUGGUCGCAAGGCUGAAACUUAAAGGAAUUGACGGAAGGGCACCACCA
rnacentral:rRNA from 1 species